AGGACGAACGCUGGCGGCGUGCCUAACACAUGCAAGUCGAGCGGAGGAUUCGAGAUGUUUACAUCGAAGGAUCCUUAGCGGCGGACGGGUGAGUAACACGUGGGUAACCUGCCUCAGAGUGGGGGAUAGCCUUUCGAAAGGAAGAUUAAUACCGCAUAAGAUUGUAGCGUCACAUGGCGCAGCAAGAAAAGGAGCAAUCCGCUUUGAGAUGGACCCGCGGCGCAUUAGCUAGUUGGCGAGGUAACGGCUCACCAAGGCCACGAUGCGUAGCCGACCUGAGAGGGUGAUCGGCCACAUUGGAACUGAGACACGGUCCAAACUCCUACGGGAGGCAGCAGUAGGGAAUCUUCGGCAAUGGACGAAAGUCUGACCGAGCAACGCCGCGUGAGUGAAGAAGGUUUUCGGAUCGUAAAACUCUGUUGUUAGAGAAGAACGUUGCAUAGAGUGGAAAGUUAUGCAAGUGACGGUAUCUAACCAGAAAGGGACGGCUAACUACGUGCCAGCAGCCGCGGUAAUACGUAGGUCCCGAGCGUUGUCCGGAUUUAUUGGGCGUAAAGCGAGCGCAGGUGGUUUAAUAAGUCUGAUGUAAAAGGCAGUGGCUCAACCAUUGUGUGCAUUGGAAACUGUUAGACUUGAGUGCAGUAGAGGAGAGUGGAAUUCCAUGUGUAGCGGUGAAAUGCGUAGAUAUAUGGAGGAACACCGGUGGCGAAAGCGGCUCUCUGGACUGUCACUGACACUGAGGCUCGAAAGCGUGGGUAGCAAACAGGAUUAGAUACCCUGGUAGUCCACGCCGUAAACGAUGAGUGCUAGUUGUUUGGGGCUAUCCAGCCCUAAGUGACGCAGCAAACGCAUUAAGCACUCCGCCUGGGGAGUACGACCGCAAGGUUGAAACUCAAAGGAAUUGACGGGGGCCCGCACAAGCGGUGGAGCAUGUGGUUUAAUUCGAAGCAACGCGAAGAACCUUACCAGGUCUUGACAUACUCGUGCUAUUCCUAGAGAUAGGAAGUUCCUUCGGGACACGGGAUACAGGUGGUGCAUGGUUGUCGUCAGCUCGUGUCGUGAGAUGUUGGGUUAAGUCCCGCAACGAGCGCAACCCUUAUUGUUAGUUGCUACCAUUUAGUUGAGCACUCUAGCGAGACUGCCCGGGUUAACCGGGAGGAAGGUGGGGAUGACGUCAAUCAUCAUGCCCCUUAUGUCUAGGGCUACACACGUGCUACAAUGGUCGGUACAACGAGCAGCUGCACAGCGAUGUGAUGCAAAUCUCUUAAAGCCGAUCCCAGUUCGGAUUGUAGGCUGCAACUCGCCUACAUGAAGUCGGAGUUGCUAGUAAUCGCGAACCAGAAUGUCGCGGUGAAUGCGUUCCCGGGCCUUGU
rnacentral:rRNA from 1 species